rnacentral:rRNA from 1 species
AAUGGCAGGUCAGCAUACUGCCGUGAAUACUUCCCGGGCCCGUUGUACACACCGCCCGUCCACACCAUGAGAGUUGGGAAUACCCGAAGCCUGUGAGCUAACUGUAAGGAGGCAGCAGUCGAAGGUAGAAUCAAUGAUUGGGGUGAAGUCGUAACAAGGUAGC